ACACCGAAAAAAAAGAAACGAAGGGGCAGACCCGCAGCCCUCCCCGCGUCGCUCCCUCCCACUGCCGCUUCCCAGUGCCAAUCCCCUCCCCACCAGCAUGCUCGACGACGGGGAUGGCGGCGUCGUGCUCGGCUCCCGCGUGACGGGCCGCCUCCAACAUUCCGCCGCCGGCGAACGCCCACGCCCGCGUCCAGUGCCGCACAAUGCCUGUGGACGCCGCGGCCAAUGUUGCCCCCAGCACCCGCCGGACGGAUCUCGGGGCGGCCUGUCCGGGACAGCGAGCCGACGCCGGAUCUCGGAAGCCCGAUCUCGGAAGCCGUCGCUGGGCGCAUGGUCGGGAGGGGGUGGAGGAAGCCCGAUCUCGGAAGCCGUCGCUGGGCACUUGGUCGAGAGCGCUUGGUCGCCGGUGGAUCUGGGGGCGACCAGCGGGGGUCCAGCGACCGCUGCCGGAUCUCGGGCCUUCAGGUCUUGAGCGCCGCCGCCGAGGUCUUGGCCGAGAGCGGGAGGGGGAGGAAGAGGCCGCCGGACGCUGCUGGGCAGGGCCCGAAGCCGAGCGGCCACUGUUGGGCGAGGCCGCGUGGGGCCGCCGCCGAGCGACGCUAGGCCGUGGCGGCUGGGGCGCGAAGCCCUCGAGUCCGGCUGGAUUUGGAGGCUAUGACCCUUUUCCGCGCCCCCAGGGAUGCGCAGGCCGCCGAUGUCGCGCCGGUGCCAGCGACUCGGCCAACGCCGCGGCGGUAGAUCCUGCUAGCGAGGAUGAGGAGGCGACGACCACCAACAAGGCAUCAACUCUGCUUCUACAGUUCUACCUGGCAUCCCGUCGCUAGACUAGCAGCACCGAAGGAAGCAUCCCUGCCGGCUGAGCAACACCGAAUUUUUUACGCAGGAGAAGCAGUGGGUUUUCUCGAGGUGCCUCCAUCUACUGAGCCGGAGGUGCCUCCAUAUACUGAGGCGUUACAAGGCAUCACCAGCAUGGAAGAUGAAAGUCUCAGAUUGGCAGAGUUGCUGGAAACAAGGAUCCGCACCUCGCCACUUUCAGUAAGAGAGAUCUUCUAUAUUACUGUAGGUUUUGUAAUUUGAAUCGACAAAUAUGUGGUGAGCCGAGCCUUUUGAGGUAAGGGUACCUGCCGACCUGCCUCUUGUCUAUUGCUCCGUACAAAUAUAGGCUUUGAAAUAUAUGGUGCAGAAAAAAAGUAUGCACUCCAAGCCUGAGAAAGGAGUGUUGAACUGGACUUCAGAUAGUAUGUAAUUUUCUAGAGGAAUGCUAAUUACUUAGUCAUUUUUCUGAAACACUAAUCUGCACCAUCAUUACUGAUCCGAAAUUUGUUGACAUAGGGAGGGAACAAGUUUCUGAGCUAUUUCCAGUGCUGUAUCAAGGCUUCAAGAGGAGGCUGCCUGUGUGAACAAUUAGGUCUCGGUUUUGCUAAAUAUCUAAAAAUGUGUAAUAUAUUUAUUCUGAUGAUGGCUGCUCUGUUGAUAUGUAUGAAAAACAAAUCAGUUUUAGUCUGCUUGAACAAGCCGUCAUUAAUUUGUUUGUGACAUGUGCUAACUGUGAUCUAAUAUGUUGUUUUGUGUAUAUCUGAAAUUUAUCCAUGGCGUUAGCACGAACAUCUUACUAGUGGUUGAAAAUUGUAGGAGGGCUUUGGAGGCUCGAUGGUCUGCAGGGGUAGGGGUCUGGAGGCCCCAAGACCCCUACCCCAGUGUUGAGAAGCAUACAAGAGAGGAACACUGUUAGCCCACGCCCCAUUCGUGGGGAACCAGCAAGCAGCAAAAUUUUUAUUGGAGCUCCCGGCGGUAGAUUUCCUCGUGGAAGAGGCUCAGCCAAGUUAGAAGCUGGCCGGCCAAGACAACCAAACGGGCCGAAAACUCCAGCCUGAGUAGUAAAGCAUGCGUGGUCCUAUACUCCUGGUGCUUCCCAUGUGGCAUGUCUCUGCUUCAAAUCGACAGUGCUCUGGUUUCCCUAUUGCCUGAGGACGAAACUUGUUGACUUGUUGUCCUCCGAGGCGACUCCAACCAUCUCUCUCACGCGUGUUGUGUUUCAUUCCUUAGCGUUUAUACAUAGGCGGGUCCACAUAUUAAAAGCACCCAGCCUGUUUCGUCCUCGUCCACUCUCCACAGCCUUCCUCUCUCCCGGCGCCUCCUGCUAACCUCUGCGUCACUGUGUGGCAUCGUGGGGAUUGAUCCUUGCGUACCCACCAGAGACAAGCUCGGAUCUCGGCAGCAGGGCCUCGGGUUCCGGUGGCAUGGAGCUUGAUCUUGGGCUUGCCGGUUGAUGAUAGAUAGAGGCGGUCAGGAGAUCCAUCCCCGUGGUGAGAAGCAUCAUUUGCCUCUGAGGAUCUCGAUUUGGUCAGCAGGGUGUUAGUGGACGAUUCAUCAGGCGGCUGAAGCUUGAGCUUGGGUUUCAGUUCGUCGGUUGUCAUGCCAUUGCAGGGCAGCAGGGCUGCCCCUAGUCAGAUAUUACAGGACAUAGUUAUGGAACUAGAGGAUGUACCAUUUCAAUUCUUACGAGAAAUUACAGAUGGUUUCUCUGAGAAACAGAUACUUGGUGAAGAAGCAUUUGGAGUUGUUUACAAGGGAGUAACUAAAAACGGUGAUGAAGUUGCUGUGAAAAAACUUAAGCUUUGUGAUGUCAACCUUGACUUUAAGAAGUUCCAAAAUGAGUUCUAUAACCUCACAAAACUUAAGCAUCAAAACGUUGUACAGAUUCUUGGCUAUUGCUAUGAAAUAGAGAAAAAACCUUUUAUCAUGCCCGAUGGAAGUAAGGUGUAUGUUGAUGAAACACAUAUAGCUCUCUGCUUCGAGUAUUUGCACAAAGGGAGCAUCGAAAAGCAUCUUUCCGGUACUAUGCAGCUUCAUUUUUGGUAUGUCUUGAAAGAAAAUUGUUUAUAUUUUCAUUUCAUUAAUAAUCUUUUUGCUUGCUAAUGCAAAUGAUUUUUAUGAAUUUGACUGGAACACGCGGUUCAAAAUAAUUAAGGGAAUUUGUGAGGGUCUAAAGUAUAUUCAUGAUGAGUUGGAAGAACCUAUCUACCACUUGGACCUAAAACCUGACAACAUAUUGCUAGAUAAGGACAUGGUGCCGAAGAUUGCAGAUUUUGGUUUGUCCAGAAUCUUUGGUAAUGAACUGGCACGGAUCACACCAAAUCCUUAUGGGACAUGGCAGUGGGUACCAGCCACCGGAAUACAUUGACAAAGGUGAAAUCUCAGGAAAGUUUGACAUAUUCAGCUUGGGUGUUGUGAUUAUAAAGAUAGUGUCAGGAUCCAAGGGCUACCCCAAUUGUCUUGAUCAAGUCCAAAGAGACUGGAGGACUAGGUUGCAGGCAACAUGUACAGAUGAUUUGUUUGAAGCAUAUUGCCACCAAGUAGACACAUGCAUUCAGAUAGCAUUGAGCUGUGUGGAGACAGAUAGCUUUAGAAGGCCUGAUGUAGUGACAAUCACUGAGAAGCUGAAUGAGACUGAAAUUGACGUUGGCCAGCUUCCCGAAAAAGGAUGUCACAGAACUGUUUCCAAAAUGACAAUGCAUAAUAGACAAAUAGAGAAGCGAACAUAAUCAACGGAUAUCACUGAUCAACACCAGAAUAAUAUUUUGAGGUCAGACCCUAGUUGCAAUGAGCUGAAACUUCACGAUGCAUUGGAAACAUCAUCAGAUAUAGUAGAAGAACACAUUGUAGGGAGGACAGAAAAAAAGAGAGAAAGUAAUGGCCUCUUUGCUUGAGGCCAUGUCAGAAAAGAUCGUCAUCCUUCCUAUACAUGGUAUUGGAGGCAUUAGCAAGACAACUUUUGCAAGACUGAUUUAUAAUGAUCCAAAGUUUAAUUGUUAUUCUCAGGUAUGGGUCCAUGUGUCCCAGAGAUUUGACUCGAAUAAGAUUUAUAAAUCUAUAAUUUUACAGUUAUCUGGAAAAGAGGGCCUGGCUAAUGAAUGUAAGAUGAUACAUAGUCGCCUCAAGAAACUACUUUGUGGCAAGAAGAUUCUGAUUGUUUUAGAUGACCUAUGGGAGGAUAAUCAGUUCCUAUUACUGGAGUUGAAGGAUAUGUUAUAUCAUGAUGACAGCAACAUAACUAUUUUAGUAACAACACGCAGUGAACUUAUUGCGGAGAGAAUCUGUACUAACCUUCAACCACACAAGAUAUUACCCUUGACAAAUAACAUGUGCUGGGAUUUAAUAAAACAAAGAAGUGGUUUCAAAGAUAGAAAUGACAAAGAACAACUCAUGGGUAUUGGAUGGGAGAUUGCUAAGAAGUGUGGUGGUGUGGCUUUAGCAGCUCUAUCUCUUGGGUUCACUUUACGGCCCAUGAAUUUUCAUGAAUGGAUGAAAGUGAAGGACAGUGAUAUCUGGAAUGAACCUGUUUCAAAGGAUUUAUUUUUGCCAAAUCAUGUUCUUGCAUCCUUGAUGUUAAGUUAUAGCUAUAUGUCUCCAUGCUUGAAGCCAUGUUUUACCUACUGUGCAACCUUUCCAAAAGGUCACAAUAUAGUUAAAGAUGAUCUUAUUUACCAAUGGAUUGCUUUGGAUUUCGUCAAGCCAACAAAACUACUCUCGAAUAUGGAGCUUUGUGAAAGAUAUAUUGUGCAGCUCCUAGGAUUGUCUUUUUUUCAACAACCAGUGUCACCUAAGACUUCUGAAGCGUACUAUAAACAAGCUACAUUUUUUACCAUGCACGAUCUGGUGCAUGACUUGGCAAUUUCACUCCUUGGCAACAACAUUCUGGAUCAGAGCAAACAAGGUAAAACUAGGGGAAGCAGCGGCCAAUAUGCAUUGCUUAGGGAUUGUAGCAGGUCUCUGGAGUUAUGCUUGACUUCACGUGCAAGGCUAAUAGCACUGCGUUUUCUCGACGGUUGCAGAAGCAAACUAAGUGGUACUGCAUUUGCACCUGCUAGGUCCCUGCGAGUAUUGGAUUUAAGCGAGUGCUACAUACAGAGCUUGCCAGAUUCCAUUGGCAAACUUCAGCAGUUGAGGUAUCUUAUUGCUCCGAAUAUCGAGGAUGAAAUUGUUCCAGAAUGUAUCACAAAACUCUCGAAUUUGAUUUAUCUCAAUCUUCAAGGAUCUAAUAUUAUGGCCCUACCAGAGUCAAUUGGAGAACUAGAAAGGUUGUUGCAUCUUGAUUUAUCACACUGUUUCAGAAUGCAUGAAUUACCAGACUCAUUCAGGACUCUAGAAAAAUUGGCGCAUCUGGAUUUGUCAAAUACCUUUGUUAUUUCAGGAUUAUCAGAAUCAUUGCAGUGCUUGAGCCGAUUGGAGCAUGUGAACUUAUCACGGUGUGGAUGGAUUGGAUACAGGGUAAGAAAAAUAUGCGACCUCACAGGAUUAUCAGAAUCAUUGCAAUAUUUGAAUUUAUCAAAUGUAUUUGUCUGCUAUGUUGAAUUACAACAAGUCCUGGUCAAUCUCACUAAACUCAGGUAUUUAAAUUUAAAUUUACAACGUGACCUGGACAACGAACUAGUUGAAGCUGAGUUUGACAGUUUAUUUGAGUGCGCUGAGUUUGACAGUUUACUUGAGUGCGUCUGUAGCCUAUCCAAUCUAGAGUACCUUAAUUUAGCUAGGCAGUAUAAUCUGCGUACUAUACCUGAAAGCAUUGGGAAGCUCAGAAUGCUAAAUACACUAGACCUUUCGUAUUGCGAGAAUCUACAGAGGCUGCCAGCUAGCGUAUCUGCAAUUAAUAGUCUGAGGUUUCUAAAUGUAAGCGGUUGCUCCAAACUAGAUAAGUCCACUCUACCUCAGAAUAAGAAUAGUACAACAGUCUUGUUACCACAUUUUGUAGUCCAUGCUGGUGAUGGUGAAUCCAGCAGCAAUCUUUAUGAGCUCGAGGAUAAACAUCUAUCCUUGUUGGUUAUAAGCAGGCUUGAAAAUGUGAAGUCUGCAGAAGAGGCUAUGAGAAUAAAAUUGGUGGAAAAGCAGAGUAUUAUAAAGCUAGAAUUGGCAUGGACUAGGGAUGCUAGGAGAUUUGCAGACGAUAGGGGAGUUUUAUCAGAACUGAUGCCACCAGACACACUAGAAUUCUAGAAAUAUUAACGCUAAACGGUUAUAAUAGCAUUAGCUUUCCAUCCUGGAUGAUGAGCAUUGCUACUUAUCUACCUCGCCUGAGAGAUGUUACCCUGCGGGACUUGCCCAGAUGCAACGUCCUACCACCACUUGGUCAGUUAGAAAACCUCAGGUGGCUGAAGAUCAGCAGAAUGGACAGCAUUACGGGUACAUAAGAGCAUUUCCUCAACUUGAGGAGUUUUCCCUAUCCCAUAUGGAUUGCCUGGAGGAGUGGAACACAUCAUACUCCAUUGGUGAGGAUGGUUUGUAUGAGCUUGCGUGCCCAAAACUCAGGCGGUUCAGGAUAAAACGCUGCCCCUUGUUGAGGUUCAAAGCACGCUCACCUCUAGGUAAGGGCGACUUGUUCAUAGAUGGUAGUGACCAAGCACUACUAUCGUCAUGGGAGAACAGAGGUCACGUCCAUGCUUCCUCUGCUGCAACCAAAAAGCUUUACGUUGAAUGCUGUGAGGCGCCUCUGCAUCAUUGGAACUUGCUGCGCCACCUCCCUGGCCUCAUGCACUUAGAUAUUACUGGCUGCAGUGAUCUCACAUGCAGCUCAACAGAUUUGCUUCAAUACAUCUCCUCGCUGGAGACUCUUACUGUAAAAGAUUGCAAAAAUGGCACUGUGGGGCUGCCGGAGACUUUGGGAGAACUUACCUCCCUCAAGGAACUCAAAGUACUCAACUGCAAUGGCAUCAAAACUCUACCAGAGAGCAUACAACAACUCAGAUUCCUCCGACUGCUGACAAUUAAUGGCUGUCCUGAACUAGUUCAGUGGUGCAAAUCAGAGGAGAAUAAGAUGAAGCUCGCUCAUAUCAAACAAAUAAGAUUGGAUGGUUGUAUUUUGUUUACCGACAAAAUAUUGGAUAUUUUGUUUUCCAACAACAAUUGGAUGAUUAUUUUUUGUUUUUCAACAAACGAUCCAGUUGUUUGGCGGCAUCGCGGGAACAAAAACUACAGAACAAUGGUGGAUUUCCUAAGCCACAAGAUGAUGACGGCAAAUAUGAACGUGAUUCAAAGCAAUGGGGAAAAGACAUUAAGCUGUCAAGAGAUUUUGAAUCGUUAACGGCAAAGGAUGAAAAGAGUGGUGCAGGUGAGGCAGGUCAUGCCGCACACCAACUGGACCUGCCAGCACAGCAAUUCAGCCUGGAAAGCUGGAUCGGCUCUACUACGCCAGGAACCAUCAGAACGAUUGGGUUGGACGGUGGUUUUUUCUUUUUCGAUGAACAAUUCGGUUGUUUGGCGUCGGCGCGGGAACAAAAACUUGAGAACAAAGUUGGAUUUUCUAAGGCGCAAGAUGAUUGCAGCGAAUAUGAACGUGACACUCCAAAGCAUUGGGGGUAAAUUAAAGAAUUUCAUCCUAGUAUAGAAGUGCCAUGUAUGCCUGCUCAUUUGUUACUAGCCUAUCAACAUGUGCUUCUGCAUAGUCUAAUUAAAAUUAAUUUAAAAAUAAGGCAUACAACUAACAAUUAUAAUUAUCUAUCUCACUCACUCUUUCAUCUGUUAAAUAUUCCAACACAUACUCUAAAAUAUAUAUUUAUCAUUAUAUAGUU